ensembl:lncRNA
GCGGCCGGGAAGCAAGUGGGGGCGGGGCGGAGGGAGGUGGAAGGGAAGAAGCUGUCCGCGGAUUGCCAGAUCGAAAACAGACCGGAUCGCCCGUUCACCCCGACAUGCCGAUUUCCUCAGUUUGACUCCGGAGUGGAAAAUAUAGGGAACAAUUUCAUAUACGUUCUACUCAUUUAGUGGCUCUUUAAAAUUCUCCACUAGAUGAGCCGAGCGAAUCUUUCAGACAGGCAGUAGGGCAGCCACUGCCAGUCCCUCUAGCCAGGGCCCCAGCAAAGGGGAGGAGCGUCCCAAGGACCGGAGUAGACAGUGGAUUGGUCACCAGGAAAGGGAAAGCUCCUGAAUUGGAGGCGCGCAGGCGCAACUCUUUCGCGGGUAGGGGGGAGUGAGACUAAGGCGGAGGCGAGCAAAUGGGUGAGGAAGAGCGGUGAGGAAGGGCGGUAUGGUAGCAAAAUUAUGGAGCGCCAUUAAGGACAAGUUUGGUCACGUGAUUCUCAUAGGCGUUUCCUGGUUUGAAAGGUAAGGAAGAAGUCCAGAAGGGAAAGUUUGAUUGGACUAAUUCGAGGAAGGGUUGAAGAUUUGGGAAACUGGCGAAGCUAAAGAAUAUAGCUGGUGUUUUAAAAAAAUCCUAUGAAGAUGGGAAUCGAAAGGAGGAAAGGGCUGAAGAUUGGAGCCCAGUGGUAGAGUACUUGCCUAGACCAAAAAAGGCCCUGGAUUCAUCUCCAUCACAGAAAAGAAAAAAUAAAAAGAGACACCCCAAAAAGUCCUAGUUAUCCAAUGAAGAACAAAUGGACAGUUGGAACACAAGGGUGACCUGUGUCCAAGAGAUAAAAAUUUGAGCAUCAACAGUUGUGUUAUAUUUAUCAACAUAAAUAGUAUAGUACAAGGGCCCCUCUGCUUAUGUUGGAGUUGCAUCAUCAUAAACCUGUUGUAAAUGGAACAUCAUAAAUCAAAAGUAUAUUUAAUAGUCCCUAACCUAAUGAACAUCCUAGCUCAGCCAGACAGUACACUAAGGAGUGUCCAAUCUGAGCCCUUGGGUUUGUUGCGUUGUUUUGUCUUAAUAUUAAAAGGAUACUGAGGCAUGAUAGUACAUGUCUGUAAUCCCAGCCCUCAGAAGUCUGAAUCAGGAUUGAGACCAGCCCAGACUACAUAGAGAAACUCUGCCUCAAAAAAAAAGUUUGUUACUUGUAUGUAUUAAAGUAUAUUGUAUAUUUUAUUAUAUAUGGUUCAAGAUAAUUCUUCACUCUGCAUCCCAAGCAAGCCAAGAGGUUGGACACCUAUUACUUUACAGGCAAUGGGCCAGGCAUCAAAAGAUUAUCAUAUCACAUUUUGCUAAGCUGGAAAAAAGAUGAAAAUUUGAAGUACAGAUUCUACUGACUAUCAUUUUCACACCAUAUAAAGGAAAAGAGUCACAUACUGAACCAUAAUAAGUUGGGGACCAUCAGGGCUCGCUUCAGCAGCACAUAUACUAAGUUGGGGACCAUCGUAUUUACCACCAUAAAAAGGAUAAAAUCACUGAAGAAAAUGUCAAGAGAAACUCCAGGACUAAGCCCAGAGAAACUUCAAAAUAUAUGGAGGUUAAGUCUCUAAACAGGAGAUUGAGGAAAGGGAAAACGUGAUAUCACUAAACCCAAGGAAAGAGUUGCUUCAAGAAAAGUAGGUCACUGUCUUCAGUGUAACAGAGCAAAAAGUCAGAAGGCAAGAAGUGCUUCUAUGGAUUGACAUCGUAGAAGACCAAUACUGACCAUGUAGAAUGCAGAUCAGUGGAAUAGAGCCAGAUUAGCUCAUUGGUGAUGGCAAAAGACAAAUAGUUGUGAAAUUUUAUAGAGAACAGCAAAGAAAUAUAACUGAAAGUAUGAUGUGAGAAUUUUUUCUAUCCUUUUUGUCCAUUUAAAUGAGAAGUACAAAAAAUGUAUUCUAAUGGUAGUGAUUCAAUAAAGGGGGAAAUACUGAUAAUGAUGAAGAAACCUAUAGAUCAUUGUAGGAGCAAAAUCUUAGUGGCAAGAAAUUAUGCAACUUCAAGAGGAAAAGUCCCUUAGGUAGAAGCAGGAACAUUUCUGCCUUACUGUAUAUUGAGAGAAGACAAAGAUAAUGGGCACAUGUCCAAAUUGGUUUGCAAAUAAAGAGUCUAUGAAGGACUUCCUCCUUGAUUGUUCCUUUUUCAGUGAAAUUUGAGGCAAGGUCCUCAGCUAAGAGGGAGGUGAGGGGAGAGUGAGAGUUUUGAAAAGAGAAAAUGUGCGACACUUGGAAAUCCCUGCAUAGAAGAAUAAGAAUUUAAAAUGUUUGCAGCAGUGAUUACAAUGGAGAAUCACAGAGUCUAAGCUGAGUAAGGAGGGAAGAGAAGGGAAAUGAGGAAUGAGUGAGAGUGUUGUCAGAAUUAAUGGAUUGUUAGGAGUAAAAGUUGCAAAGAAAACAAGAAGGACCCAAAAACAUCAGUCAGUAGAAGACAGUAGAAGGUGAUUCUGAAGAGCUGUGGAGCUGUGAGUAUAGACAAAAAGAACAAACCUAAAGGGCCUGAGGUGUUUGAGAGGAUGGAAGAGUACUGGUUGAGAAGCAGUGAUGGAAAGCAACAUACAGCUCUGCACUGAACUGCAUGAGUUCAAAUUCUGGUGCCAACAUUUACUAGGUAUUUGAAUUUGAACCAAUUAACUACUUUAAGUCAGGUUUUUAUUCUUAAAAAUUGUAACAAUAAUAGUACUUUUUCAUGGGGUAUUGAGAAGAGUGAGGUAAAUUCAACUAAAGCACUUAUCCCAGGGCUGGGGAUUUAGCUCAGUGGUGCCAGUGUCUGGCAAGUGCAAGGUCCUGAGUUCAAUCCCCAGUACCCCCCAAAAAAGCCCUUAGCACAGAGCUAAUACCAUAUGCUCUGUGAGUUUUAUUACUAAAUCAUUUUGGAAACAACACAAUCCAAAUGUGUUUGUGCUGUGAACAAAGAGUACUUCAGCUCUCUCCCAUUUCUUUGCCUUAACACUGGUUAGAAAUCAACAUACCUCAUACUGUUUACACCAAGUAUUAGAAAUCUAUGCUGUGCCAAUGAACUUCAAAAUGAGGAUUGAAAAGAAAGGUGACUGGGGUGAGGAAGAAAAGUUUUCUAUUAUGACCAAUAAUGACAGAUUUGGAAAUCUACAUGGUUCUAAUUUUUGUUUUUCAUUUUGUCCAGAAAAAUAAUCAGCCUCAAUAUUCUUUAGGAGAGCUUAUGGGUAUGUAGUGAGAAAGUUAAUGCUCUGCCAUCUGAUUGGUCUUCAUUAAGAAUUUCUGACCUAUAUUUCUAAGUCCUGGCUAUGGGACGUCUGAAAUAGAGUAUUCCAUAUAUAUGUAAGAUCUAAAAUAUCCAAUACUGAUAUACUAGUCCCCCACCCCACCUACUUCUGUUAAUAUUCUUUUAGUUAAUGGAGCUAUAGUCCCCACUCUCUAUUCCUUAUCCAAAUACAGUUAAUAUUUCCGCGUGUGUGUGUUUGUGUGUUUGUGUGUAUGGUUCUGGUGAUUGAACCUAGGAUCUUGGCUCAGUUUUUUAUUUUAUAUUUUGUAUAGAAUCUCGCUAAGUUACUAACUUGCCCAGACUAGCCUCAAACUCAUGAUCCUCCUGCCUCAGCCUCCCAGAGUGCUGCAUUACAGGUAUACACCACCCUGUCCAGAUCAGUAGUUUUUUUGUUUGCUUUUUGUUUUGGUACCGGGGAUCGAACUCGGGUCUUUGUGCUUGCGCAGCAGGCAACGAAACCACUGAGCUAAAUCCCUGGCCCCAGAGUAGUAGUUUUUAAAAGGAACUUGACUGGGUGCUCCUUAUCUCCACUGCCAGAGCCUUGGUUCAGGCCUGUGUCCACAUUACUCUUACAAUUGCCAGUCAUCUCAGUCUCCCUUGACUGCUUCUAGUCUUGUUCUCUACCUUAGAAAGUAUUGUUUCAAACACGGAUCAACUCACUUAACUUCUCUGCUAUAAACCUACCCGUGGCAGUGGUCUCCAGACUUUUCACACUUCUUUAGUCAUGUAUCCCUAUAAGGGAAAGGGAGGAGAGCAUGUGUUCCCACCCCAUGUAUAUGUACUGUAUUUAGACACGAAUCAUGUAUAUAUGUACUACUGCACAAAUGCAUACCUAAUAAUAAUUCAUGCCUGAAAAGAAACUAGUAAUAAAAACAAAUUUUAAUGUUUAGGCCUAAGUGGAUCAUCUUGCAUUCUCCUGCCAAACCCCUUUGGUAGUUACUGACUUACAGGGUAUAACUCAGACUCUGUAGCAAGAGCUCUUACACAUUGGCUUUUCCCUGUACAUCUAGUCUCAUUUUCUACUGUUUCCCCCACAUGUCUAAGUUCUAGCCAUAGCAAAUAACCCACACAUACUGAGCUACUUCCCACAGUGCACAUAGGACUACCUAGAAUGCUAUUUUUCCUGUGAAUGUUCCAGGCUGGUUAAAGAAUUGUUUACUCCAAAAACUCAUUUUGUUUGUUUGGGGUUUUUUGGCUCACAACCACCCCCACAUUAUAUUGAAUUAAGUCCCUGCCCCCAACUCGGUUUCCAUAGGGCCUUUUAAUCAUAUUAUAUCUUUUCAUUAUUGGAAUAGUUUUUGUCUUUUUUUUCCCCAUAAAACUAAAAUUUUUGAUCACUUAAUAGAGUAGAUUUUAUUAAAUUGAGGCCUUACAAUAGGACACGUGUGUAAAUACCGAAUAGCUUCUCUAGUGUGAGAAACUGAAAGUGUAAAUAAGGACUACAAAGUAUAAUAGAUAAUGUGAAAUAGGAAGAAAAGGGGCGAAGGGGAAGUGGGAGGGGUAGGGGAAAGGAAAGAAGGGAAUGGAAUUAAUAUGAGAAAAUGAAAAAACGGAAACAAAGUCUUUGUAAAUAGGGAGGGCAGAGGAAGGAGGAAAAAAUAACCAAGAGAGAUUAUGUAAAGAUGCAAAUUUCCAAUAAUAAAUGUCAUUAUAAUGUAUACCUAAAAUGUACCAAUAAAAUAAAUUUUUUUAAAAAAUGA